UACAGAGGGUGCAAGCGUUAAUCGGAAUUACUGGGCGUAAAGCGCGCGUAGGUGGUUUGUUAAGUUGGAUGUGAAAUCCCCGGGCUCAACCUGGGAACUGCAUCCGAAACUGGCAAGCUAGAGUAUGGUAGAGGGUGGUGGAAUUUCCUGUGUAGCGGUGAAAUGCGUAGAUAUAGGAAGGAACACCAGUGGCGAAGGCGACCACCUGGACUGAUACUGACACUGAGGUGCGAAAGCGUGGGGAGCAAACAGG
rnacentral:rRNA from 1 species